ACCCCACACUAAUAAGCCGACAAUUUCGAUACACAUUUGUUGAGAUUGUGUGCUCGUUGUGGGAACAGCAAAGUCGGCAUAUUGUGUAUGAUUGUAUUACUUUUAUACUGUCAAAGAAUAUCGAUGCUGGACA